AUUGAACGCUGGCGGCAGGCCUAACACAUGCAAGUCGAGCGGAGCGGCGGACGGGUGAGUAAUGCCUAGGAAUCUGCCUGGUAGUGGGGGAUAACGUCCGGCAACGGGCGCUAAUACCGCAUACUAUCAGAUGAGCCUAGGUCGGAUUAGCUAGUUGGUGGGUGAAAGGCCUACCAAGGCGACGAUCCGUAACUGGUCUGAGAGGAUGAGCCGUCACACUGGAACUGAGACAAGGUCCAGACUCCGACGGGAGGUAGAAGUGGGGAAUAUUGGACAAUGGGGGAAAGCCUGAUUCAGCCAUGCCGCGUGUGUGAAGAAGGUCUUCGGAUUGGAAAGCACGUUAAGUUGGGAGGCGUUACCAACAGCAUAAGCACCGGCUAACUUCGUGCCAGCAGCCGCGGUAAUAC
rnacentral:rRNA from 1 species